rnacentral:lncRNA from 1 species
UCUUUUAUGGGAGGAUGACCUACUUUCCGUACAUACAGGGUUGGUCUUGCCGACAUCAUCAUUGCCCUAAAAUGGAACUUGGCCUAGUGUGGGCAGAAAGUGGAAGUGGUUUGAUGAAGAGGAUACAUGAACUUAAGUCAACAGAGUACCAUUUUGUGACCUGGCAAGAAUUUACAAAGGUCAUGAAAUCUUAUAAAUUCCUCGAAGGCCAAGUUUAUAGUUGUUCUUGAGGCCAUAUCCUAAUCACACAUUCUUGGGAUCAUGGGGACACAUUAUCAGACUGCAACUGGG